rnacentral:rRNA from 1 species
CAGUAGCCACGGUAAUACAGAGGGUGCGAGCGUUAAUCGGAUUUACUGGGCGUAAAGCGUGCGUAGGCGGCUUCUUAAGUCGGAUGUGAAAUCCCUGAGCUUAACUUAGGAAUUGCAUUCGAUACUGGGAAGCUAGAGUAUGGGAGAGGAUGGUAGAAUUCCAGGUGUAGCGGUGAAAUGCGUAGAGAUCUGGAGGAAUACCGAUGGCGAAGGCAGCCAUCUGGCCUAAUACUGACGCUGAGGUACGAAAGCAUGGGGAGCAAACAGGAUUAGAGACCCCCGUAGUCCCUGUCUCUUAUAA